CCUACGGGAGGCAGCAGUGAGGAAUAUUGGUCAAUGGACGAGAGUCUGAACCAGCCAAGUAGCGUGAAGGAUGACUGCCCUAUGGGUUGUAAACUUCUUUUAUAUGGGAAUAAAAUGUUCCACGUGUGGGAUUUUGUAUGUACCAUAUGAAUAAGGAUCGGCUAACUCCGUGCCAGCAGCCGCGGUAAUACGGAGGAUCCGAGCGUUAUCCGGAUUUAUUGGGUUUAAAGGGAGCGUAGGUGGAUUGUUAAGUCAGUUGUGAAAGUUUGCGGCUCAACCGUAAAAUUGCAGUUGAAACUGGCAGUCUUGAGUACAGUAGAGGUGGGCGGAGUUCGUGGUGUAGCGGUGAAAUGCUUAGAUAUCACGAAGAACUCCGAUUGCGAAGGCAGUUCACUGGACUGCAACUGACACUGAGGCUCGAAAGUGUGGGUAUCAAACAGGAUUAGAUACCCCAGUAGUC
rnacentral:rRNA from 1 species